rnacentral:rRNA from 1 species
AACGAGCGUUGGCGGCGGGGCUUAGACAUGCAAGUCGAGCGGAAAGGCUCCUUCGGGAGUACUCGAGCGGCGAACGGGAGAGUAAUACCUGGACAACCUACCCCGGAGUCGGGAAUAGCCACUGGAAACGGUGGGUAAUGCCCGAUAGUCCGUGUUGGCUGAUGGCCGACCCGGUAAAGGUGAUUCCGCUUCGGGACGGGUCCAGGGCCCAUUAGCUUGUUGGUGAGGUAACGGCUCACCAAGGCGACGAUGGGUAGCGGGCCUGAGAGGGUGAUCCGCCUCACUGGGACUGAGACACUGCCCAG